rnacentral:lncRNA from 1 species
UUUUUUUCUCUUUUUUGUUCUCAUUUUUCUAAAAUGUUGAACAUGUAUUUCAAAAUGUUGAAUAAUUAUAAAAAUGGUGAACAAGUAUUUCAAAAAAAGUUGAAUAACUAUUAAAAUGUUGAACAAGUAUUUGAAAAAUGUUGAAAUAGCAUUGGGACAAUGUUGAAUGUGUAUACAAAAAAUGUUGAUCACUUGUUACAAAAUAUGUUUUUGACAUGUAUGAAAAUGUAGAGUGAAACCAAAAACAAACAAAAGAAAAACAAAAUAUGGAGAAGAAAAAAGAAAUGAAACAAAAGAAAACGAAAAAAGUACAAGAAAAAAUGGAGAAGACCAGCUCAAUCGCCUCUAGAACCUUGGAGACCAGGGUUCGAUUCUUUUCUUUUGAAGGUAACUAGGGAAUUUUAUUCAAAGUUCAUCACAUCCGGAAUACAAGCAAUAUCAUGAAGGAUCCCUAGCCACACGUGGCGGCCCACCGGCAGAGACACAGCUCAUUUUGCAACCGAGUGGGCCUCGAAAUUAUUUUCUCUAUGCUCAAAACGAAAGAUAACUGAAGCGAAAAGGUUCAUGCUAAUGUGUAUAUCCUGCAGAAUAGGCGCAUACACUAGUGAUGCUUGUGUGUUGAUAUUUGAGACCAGUUCUAAACAAUUAGACGCGAUCACCAUCUCCUGCACAUUCAAAUGGCGAGCAAGGGCAAGUACCUCAUUGCACGCGUGCGCCUCCAAACUCGUUGGGUCGAUCAAGCCAUCAAAGACUAGUGCUGAUGCUCCAAGAAACUUCCCUGACUUGUAUCGACAAAUCACAGCCGCCGCUCCCUUAUCGCCCAGGGUUGAUAAUGCACCAUCACAGUUAAACUUCACCGCUCCACCCUCGGGCGGCAACCAUGUACGUGCUCUCGGAGCAGCAGGCAGCGGCACCGGUCGCGACUUUUGGGAUUCAACAAUAUCCAAAUCCUCCAAGAAGUGCCUGAUGAAACUCAUGGUUGACAAAGGUCUUUGAAACUCGUUCUCAUGGAUUGCUUUUCGGCGCGCCCACCAAAUUGCCCACAUUGUCACUAGAACCUGAGUUAAAUCACGUUGGCUUGUUGAUUCGAACAGCCAAAACAGCCAUAGACGUGCAUCAGUGUUCUGGUUUGAUAUCACAUGCUCGAGGAGCUCUUUAAUAUGUCUCCAACGUAUCUAUAAUUUUUGAUUGCUCCAUGCUAUAUUAUCUACUGUUUUGGACAUUUGGGCUUUAUUAUCCACUUUUAUAUUGUUUUUUUGGGACUAACCUAUUAACCGGAGGCCUAGCCCAGAAUUGCUGUUUUUGCCUGUUUUAGGGUUUUGAAGAAAAGGAAUAUCAAACGGAGUCCAAACGGAAUGAACCCUUCGAGAACGUGAUUUUCUCAGAGAACAAGACCCAGGAGACUUGGACCCUACGUCAAGAAAGAAAAGAGGAGGCCACGAGGUAGGGGGUGCGCCCACCCCCACCAGGCGCGCCCUCCACCCUCGUGGGCCCCCUGUUGCUCCACCGACGUACUCCUUCCUCCUAUAUAUACCUACAUACCCCCAAACAAUCAGAGACGGAGCCAAAAACCUAAUUCCACCGCCGCAACUUUCUGUAUCCAUGAGAUCCCAUCUUGGGGCCUGUUCCGGAGCUCCGCCGGAGGGGGCAUCAAUCACGGAGGGCUUCUACAUCAACACCAUAGCCCCUCCGAUGAAGUGUGAGUAGUUUACCUCAGACCUACGGGUCCAUAGUUAUUAGCUAGAUGGCUUCUUCUCUCUUUUUGGAUCUCAAUACAAUGUUCUUCCCCUCUCUUGUGGAGAACUAUUCGAUGUAAUCUUCUUUUUGCGGUGUGUUUGUUGAGACCGAUGAAUUGUGGGUUUAUGAUCAAGUCUAUCUAUGAAUAAUAUUUGAAUCUUCUCUGAAUUCUUUUAUGUGUGAUUGGUUAUCUUUGCAAGUCUCUUCGAAUUAUCAGUUUGGUUUGGCCUACUAUAUUGAUCUUUCUUGCAAUGGGAGAAGUGCUUAGCUUUGGGUUCAAUCUUGCGGUGUCCUUUCCCAGUGACAGUAGGGGCAGCAAGGCACGUAUUGUAUUAUUGCCAUCGAGGAUAACAAGAUGGGGUUUUCUUCAUAUUGUAUGAGUCUAUCCCUCUACAUCAUGUCAUCUUGCUUAAGGUGUUACUCUAUUUUUAACUUAAUACUCUAGAUGCAUGCUGGAUAGCGGUUGAUGAGUGGAGUAAUAGUAGUAGAUGCAGGCAGGAGUCGGUCUACUUGUCUCGGACGUGAUGCCUAUAUACAUGAUCAUACCUAGAUAUUCUCAUAACUAUGCUCAAUUCUGUCAAUUUCUCAACAGUAAUUUGUUCACCCACCGUAGAAUACUUAUGCUCUCGAGAGAAGCCACUAGUGAAACCUAUGGCCCCCGGGUCUAUCUUUAUCAUAUUAAUCUCCUACUACUUAGUUAUUUCCUUUGCUAUUUACUUUGCCUUUAUUUUACUUUGCAUCUUUAUCAUAAAAAUACCAAAAAUAUUAUCUUAUCAUAUCUAUCGGAUGUCACUCUUGUAAGUGGCCUUAUAGGGAUUGACAACCCCUAUUUGCGUUGGUUGUGAGGAUUUAUUUGUUUUGUGCAGGUACAAGGGACUCGCGUGUAGCCUCCUACUGGAUUGAUACCUUGGUUCUCAAAAACUGAGGGAAAUACUUACGCUACUUUGCUGCAUCAUCCCUUCCUCUUCGGGGAAAACCAACGCAGUGCUCAAGAGGUAGCAAGAAGGAUUUCUGGCGCCGUUGCCGGGGAGGUCUACGCAAAAGUCAACAUACCAAGUACCCAUCACAUACCCUUAUCUCCCGGAUUACAUUAUUUGCCAUUUGCCUCUCGUUUUCCUCUCCCCCAGUUCACCUUACCGUUUUAUUCGCCCUCUCUCUCUAUCCUCCCUCUCUAUUUGCCUCUUUUUGCCCGCUUGCUUUCUAUUUGCUUGUGUGUUAGUUUGCUUGCUUGUCACGAUGGCUCAAGAUAAUACUAAAUUGUGUGACUUCACCAAUACCAACAACAAUGAUUUUAUUAGCACUCCGAUUGCUCCUCUUACCGAUGCUGAAUCUUGUGAAAUUAAUACUGCUUUGCUGAAUCUUGUCAUGAAAGAUCCGUUUUCCAGCCUUCCUAGUGAAGAUGCCGCUACCCAUCUAAAUAGCUUCGUUGAUUUGUGUGACAUGCAAAAGAAGAAAGAUGUGGAUAAUGAUAUUGUUAAAUUGAAGUUAUUUCCUUUUUCGCUUAGAGAUCGUGCUAAAGCUUGGUUUUCGUCUUUGCCUAAAAAUAGUAUUGAUUCAUGGAACAAGUGCAAAGAUGCUUUUAUCUCUAAGUAUUUUCAUCCCGCUAAGAUCAUCUCUCUUAGAAUCGAUAUUAUGAAUUUUAAGCAACUUGAUCAUGAACAUGUUGCACAAGCUUGGGAGAGAAUGAAAUUAAUGAUACUAAUUGCCCUACUCAUGGUUUAAAUUUGUGGACGAUUAUACAAAAAAAUUAUGUCGGAUUGAAUUUUGCUUCUAGAAAUCUUUUAGAUUCGGCCGCGGGAGGCACUUUUAUGGAAAUCACUUUAGGAGAAGCUACUAAACUCCUAGAUAAUAUUAUGGUUAAUUAUUCUCAAUGGCAUACUGAAAGAUCUACUAAUAAAAAGGUGCAUGCGAUAGAAGAAAUUAAUAUUUUGAGUGGAAAGAUGGAUGAACUUAUGAAAUUAUUUGCUAAUAAGACUGUUUCUUCUGAUCCUAAUGAUAUGCCCUUGUCUACUUCAAUUGAGAAUAAUAAUGAAUCUAUGGAUGUGAAUUUUGUUGGUAGGAACAAUUUUGGUAACAACGCGUAUAGAGGAAAUUUUAAUCCUAGGCCUUAUCCUAGUAAUCCCUCUAAUAAUUAUGGUAAUUCCUACAACAAUUCUUAUGGAAAUUAUAAUAAGAUGCCCUCUGACUUUGAAUCUAAUAUUAAAGAAUUUAUUACUUCACAAAAGAAUUUUAAUGCUAUGAUUGAAGAAAAAUUGCUUAAGAUUGAUGAUUUGGCUAUGAACAUUGAUAGAAUUGCUCUUGAUGUUGAUUCUUUGAAACUUAGAUCUAUUCCACCUAAGCAUGAUAUCAAUGAGUCUCUUAAAGCCAUGAGAAUUUCCAUUGAUGAGUGCAAAAAAAGAACCGAUAGGAUGCGUGCUAAGAAAGAUGCCUUUAUAAGAGCGUGUUCUUCUAGUUCCUAUGAAAAUAAAGAUGAAGAUCUAAAAGUUAUUGAUGUGUCCCCUAUUAAAUCUUUGUUUUUCAAUAUGAAUCUUGAUAAUGAUGGGACUGAAUAUGAUCCACCUUUACCUAGAAGGCGUUCCAAGAAUUCGGAAUUUGUUGAUCUUGAUGCUAAAUUUGAUAAAAGUGGGAUUGAAGAAAUUAAAACCCUAGAUGUUGCUAAAGCCACUAUUAUGGAUUUCCAGGAAUUUAACUAUGAAAAUUGCUCUUUGAUUGAUUGUAUUUCCUUGUUGCAAUCCGUGCUAAAUUCUCCUCAUGCUUAUAGUCAAAAUAAAGCGUUUACUAAACAUAUUGUUGAUGCCUUGAUGCAAUCUUAUGAAGAAAAACUUGAAUUGGAAGUUUCUAUCCCUAGAAAACUUUAUGAUGAGUGGGAACCAACUAUUAAAAUUAAAAUUAAAGAUCAUCAAUGCUAUGCUUUAUGUGAUUUGGGUGCUAGUGUUUCCACGAUUCCAAAGACUCUGUGUGAUUUGUUAGGUUUCCGUGAUUUUGAUGAUUGCUCUCUAAACUUGCACCUUGCGGAUUCCACUAUUAAGAAACCUAUGGGAAGAAUUAAUGGUGUUCUUAUUGUUGCAAAUAGGAAUUAUGUGCCCGUAGAUUUUAUUUGUCUUGACAUAGAUUUCAAUCCUUCAUGUCCUAUUAUUCUUGGUAGACCUUUCCUUAGAACGAUUGGUGCAAUUAUUGAUAUGAAGGAAGGAAAUAUUAGAUUCCAAUUUCCAUUAAGGAAAGGCAUGGAACACUUCCCUAGAAAGAAAAUUAAAUUACCUUAUGAAUCUAUUAUGAGAGGCACUUAUGGAUUGCCUACCAAAGAUGGCAAUACCUAGAUCUAUUCUUGCUUGUUAUGCCUAGCUAGGGGCGUUAAACGAUAGCGCUUGUUGGGAGGCAACCCAAUUUUAUUUUUAUUCCUUGAUUUUUGAUCCUGUUUAGUAAUAAAUAAUUUAUCUAGCAUCUGUUUUUUUAUGUGUUUUGUGUUUAAUUAGUGUUUGUGCCAAGUAGAACCGUUGAGAAGACUUGGGGGAAGUUUUGUUGAACUUGCUGUAAAAAACAGAAACUUUAGCGCUCACGAGAACUGCUGUCAUUUUUAUUUGGAAAGUGAUAUUUAGUUAAUUAUUUUUAAAGAUUAUUAAUAGAUAAAUUCCUCACGUCCAGCAAUUUAUUUUAGAAUUGUUGGGGUUCCAUAUCUUGCUCUAUCUACAGAUUACUACAGACUGUUCUGUUUUUGACAGAUUCUGUUUUUCGUGUGUUGUUUGCUUAUUUUGAUGAAUCUAUGGCUAGUAAAAUAGUUUAUAAACCAUAGAGAAGUUGGAAUACAGUAGGUAUAACACCAAUAUAAAUAAAGAAUGAGUUAAUUACAGUACCUUGAAGUGGUCUUUUAUUUUCUUUCGCUAACGGAGCUCACGAGAUUUUCUACUUUAAGUUUUGUGUUGUGAAGUUUUCAAGUAUUGGGUAAAGAUUUGAUGGAUUAUGGAACAAGGAGUGGCAAGAGCCUAAGCUUGGGGAUUCCCAUGGCACCCCCAAGAUAAUCUAAGGACACCUAAAAGCCAAAGCUUGGGGAUGCCCCGGAAGGCAUCCCCUCUUUCGUCUACUUCUAUCGGUAACUUUACUUGGAGCUAUAUUUUUAUUCGCCACAUGAUAUGCGUUUUGCUUGGAGCGUCUUGUAUUAUUUGAGUCUUUGCUUGUUAGUUUAACACAAUCAUCCUUUAUGUACACACCUUUUGAGAGAGCCGUACAUGAUUUAGAAUUUGUUAGAAUACUCUAUGUGCUUCGCUUAUAUCUUUUGAGUUAUAUAAUUUUGCUCUAGUACUUCACUUAUAUCUUUUAGAGCACGGUGGUGGAUUUGUUUUAUAGAAACUAUUGAUCUCUCAUGCUUCACUUAGAUUAUUUUGAGAGUCUUAAUAGCAUGGUAAUUUGCUUAAAAUCCUAAUAUGCUAGGUAUUCAAGAAUAAAAAAAUUCUCUUAUGAGUGUGUUGAAUACUAUGAUAAGUUUGAUACUUGAUAAUUGUUUUGAGAUAUGGAGAUGGUAAUAUUAAAGUCAUGCUAGUUGAGUAGUUGUGAAUUUGAGAAAUACUUGUGUUGAAGCUUGUGAUUCCCAUAGCAUGCACAUAUGGUGAACCGUUAUGUGAUGAAGUCAGAGCAUGAUUUAUUUAUUGAUUGUCUUCCUUAUGAGUGGCGGUCGUGGACGAGCGGUGAUAUUUUCCUACCAAUCUAUCCCCCUAGGAGCAUGCGCGUAAUACUUUUCUUUGAUAACUUGUAUAUUUUUGCAAUAAGUAUAUGAGUUCUUUAUGACUAAUGUUGAGUCCAUGAAUUAUAUGCACUCUCACACUUCAACCUUUGCUAGCCUCUCUAAUACCGUGCACCUUUCGUCGGUAUCAUAUACCCACCAUAUACCUUCCUCAAAACAGCCACCAUACCUACCUAUUGUGGCAUUUCCAUAGCCAUUCCGAGAUAUAUUGCCAUGCAACUUUCCACCGUUCUGUUUAUUAUGACACACUCCAUUAUAAUCAUAUUGCUUAGCAUGAUCAUGUAGUCGACAUCGUAUUUGUGGCAAAGCUAACAUUCAUAAUUCUUUCAUACAUGUCACUCAUGAGUCAUUGCAUAUCCUGGUACACCGCCGGAGGCAUUAAUAUAGAGUCGUAUUUUGUUCUAAGUAUCGAGUUGUAAUUGUUGAGUUGUAAGAAAAAUAAAAGUGUGAUGAUCAUCAUUAUUAGAGCAUUGUCCCAGUGAGGAAAGGAUGAUGGAGACUAUGAUUCCCCCACAAGUCCGAAUGAGACGCCGGGCGAGAAAUAAAAAAGAGAAAGAAAAGAGGCCAUAAAAAAGAGAAAAGACCCAAAUAAAAAAUGAGAGAAAAAGAGAGAAGGGACAAUGUUACUAUCCUUUUACCACACUUGUGCUUCAAAGUAGCACCAUGAUCUUCAUAGUAGAGAGUCUCUCAUGUUAUCACUUUCAUAUACUAGUGGGAAUUUUUCAUUAUAGAACUUGGCUUGUAUAUUCCAAUGAUGGGCUUCCUCAAAAUGCCCUAGGUCUUCAUGAGCAAGCAAGUUGGAUGCACACCCACUUAGUUUCUUUUUGAGCUUUCAUAUGCUUAUAGCUCUAGUGCAUCCGUUGCAUGGCAAUCCCUACUCACUCACAUUGAUAUCUAUUGAUGGGCAUCUCCAUAGCCCGUUGAUACGCCUAGUUGAUGUGUGACUAUCUUCUCCCUUUUUAUCUUCUCCACAACCACCACUCUAUUCCAUCUAUAGUGCUAUAUCCAUGGCUCACGCUCAUGUAUUGCGUGAAGAUUGAAAAAGUUUUGAGAAUGUCAAAAGUAUGAAACAAUUGCUUGGCUUGUCAUCGGGGUUGUGCAUGAUUUAAAUAUUUUGUGUGGUGAAGAUGGAGCAUAGCCAGACUAUAUGAUUUUGUAGCGAUAACUUUCUUUAGCCAUGUUAUUUUGAGAAGACAUAAUUGCUUUGUUAGUAUGCUUGAAGUAUUAUUAUUUUUAUGUCAAUAUUAAACUUUUGUCUUGAAUCUUUCGGAUCUGAAUAUUCAUACCACAAUUAAGAAGAAUUACAUUCAAAUUAUGCCAAGUAGCACUCCGCAUCAAGAAUUCUGUUUUUAUCAUUUACCUACUCGAGGGCGAGCAGGAAUUAAGCAUGGGGAUGCUUGAUACGUCUCCAACGUAUCUAUAAUUUUUGAUUGCUCCAUGCUAUAUUAUCUACUAUUUUGGAUAUUAUUGGGCUUUAUUAUCCACUUUUAUAUUAUUUUUGGGACUAACCUAUUAACCGGAGGCCCAGCCCAGAAUUGUUGUUUUUUGCCUGUUUUAGGGUUUCGAAGAAAAGGAAUAUCAAACGGAGUCCAAACGGAAUGAAACCUUCGGUAACGUGAUUUUCUCAACGAACAAGACCCGGGAGACUUGGACCCUACGUCAAGAAAGAAAAGAUGAGUCCACGAGGUAGGGGGCGCGCCCACCCCCACCAGGCGCGCCCUCCACCCUCGUGGGCCCCCUGUUGCUCCACCGACGUACUCCUUCCUCCUAUAUAUACCUAUAUACCCCCAAACGAUCAGAGACGGAGCCAAAAACCUAAUUCCACCGCCGCAACUUUCUGUAUCCACGAGAUCCCAUCUUGGGGCCUGUUCCGGAGCUCCGCCGGAGGGGGCAUCGAUCACGGAGGGCUUCUACAUCAACACCAUAUCCCCUCCGAUGAAGUGUGAGUAGUUUACCUUAGACCUACGGGUCCAUAGUUGUUAGCUAGAUGGCUUCUUCUCUCUUUUUGGAUCUCAAUACAAUGUUCUUCCCCUCUCUUGUGGAGAACUAUUCGAUGUAAUCUUCUUUUUGCGGUGUGUUUGUUGAGAGCGAUGAAUUGUGGGUUUAUGAUCAAGUCUAUCUAUGAAUAAUAUUUGAAUCUUCUAUGAAUUCUUUUAUGUGUGAUUGGUUAUCUUUGCAAGUCUCUUCGAAUUAUCAAUUUGGUUUGGCCUACUAUAUUGAUCUUUCUUGCAAUGGGAGAAGUGCUUAGCUUUGGGUUCAAUCUUGCGGUGUCCUUUCCCAGUGACAGUAGGGGCAGCAAGGCACGUAUUGUAUUAUUGCCAUCGAGGAUAACAAGAUGGGGUUUUCUUCAUAUUGUAUGAGUCUAUCCCUCUACAUCAUGUCAUCUUGCUUAAGGUGUUACUCUAUUUUUAACUUAAUACUCUAGAUGCAUGCUGGAUAGCGGUCGAUGAGUGGAGUAAUAGUAGUAGAUGCAGGCAGGAGUCGGUCUACUUGUCUCGGACGUGAUGCCUAUAUACAUGAUCAUACCUAGAUAUUCUCAUAACUAUGCUCAAUUCUGUCAAUUGCUCAACAGUAAUUUGUUCACCCACCGUAGAAUAUUUAUGCUCUCGAGAGAAGCCACUAGUGAAACCUAUGGGCCCCGGGUCUAUCUUUAUCAUAUUAAUCUCCUACUACUUAGUUAUUUCCUUUGCUAUUUACUUUGCCUUUAUUUUACUUUGCAUCUUUAUCAUAAAAAUACCAAAAAUAUUAUCUUAUCAUAUCUAUCAGAUCUCACUCUCGUAAGUGGCCUUAUAGGGAUUGACAACCCCUAUUUGUGUUGGUUGUGAGGAUUUAUUUGUUUUGUGCAGGUAUGAGGGACUCGCGCGUAGCCUCCUACUGGAUUGAUACCUUGGUUCUCAAAAACUGAGGGAAAUACUUACGCCACUGUGCUGCGUCAUCUCUUCCUCUUCGGGGAAAACCAACACAGUGCUCAAGAGGUAGCACUCUUCAUCGCCCAAUGCCCAUACGCAUCGCGCCAUGCAGCAGCUUAACAGUGAAUGACGCCAAGUGUCCUCAUUUGCCCCGCAAAUCGAGCAUGCUGGUGAAUCUGCCAUAUUUCUCUCAUGUCGCACGAGCCCCGUCGGGAUCGAGGUAUGUGCUAAUCUCCAUACAAAAACCCUGAUCUUGGAGGGAACCCAUACUUUCCACAGUUGCGACCAAGAGUUCCUAUCGGCUGCGAUGUUUGAGUGUCCCGGCCGAUGAUCAAGCCAAUCCUCCCUCUGAGCCUUGACUACAGAAAUCAUACGGUAGGCCAAUCAAACCGAAAAAACUCCCUUCUUAUCGUAGUGCCAGGCCCAAAAAUCAUCCUGUACCCUGGUACUCAGUGGUAUGUUCUAAAUGACUUCAACAUCGGGAGCGAUAAAAUGUUCCAUGAGUACCUUCUUGUUCCAUGACCUAGUGGUAGGAUCAAUCAGAUCUGAGACCAGAACUGGCGGGUUGGCCGACCGUGAGCAUAUUGGUCUGAGUUUGUAAUCCCUCGGCAGCCAAUUGUCGUGCCAUAUGUUCGUAUGCGUUCCAGAACCAAUGCGUUUGAUGAGCCCUUGCGCUAGAACAUCUCUUCCCUCUAGUAUGGAGCGCCAAACUUGGGACGGACCUGCACCCAAGGUGGCCUCCAAGAGGUGGCAAUCUGGGUAGUACCUGGCUUUUAGAAUACAAGCACUGAGCGAGUCCGGAUCCUGUAGUAACCUCCAUGCUUGGCGUGCGAGUAAUGCUAGAUUGAACAACUCCACAUCCCUAAAGCCCAAUCCACCCAUGAACAUAGGUUUUGACAUAAUUUUCCAUGAAACCCAUGCAGUUUUCCGUUGGCCAUCAUUGCUUCCCCACAAGAACUUCCGGAGAAUACCAUUGAUAUGCUCACACAAGCCCCGUGGCAGUUUGAAACAUGACAUAGAGUACGUUGGGAUAGAUUGAGUUACAGAAUUUAUAAGUACCUCUUUCCCUCCGGCUGAUAAGCACUUCUCCAUCCACCCUUGCACCUUCUUCUAGAUUCUAUCUUUCAAGUACUUAAAUGGUCCUUCUUUUGCCCUCCCAACAUCCGAAGGCAAGCCCAGGUAUUUCUCUGUCAACGAUUCAUUGUGGACAGCGAGGAUAUUCUUUAUGGAGUCACGAGCAGAGUUGGGUACUCCUUUACUGAAGAAAAUGGAUGACUUCCCCAUAUUUACCCUUUGUCCGGAGGCGUUGCAAUAGAUCCGCAAUAGCUCAUCAAUCCGGGUGGCACUAUCAUCAUUUGCUUCAAAGAAAAGUAGGCUAUCGUCAGCAAAGAGUAGAUGAUUAACAGAUGGUGCAUUCGGUGCAACUGUGAUCCCCCGUACUCCUGCACCAGCUUUCAGCAAGCACGAAAGCCCUUCAGCUGCUAACAAGAACAAAUAUGGCGAGCUCGGAUCGCCCUGGCGCAAACCCCGAGAAGGCUUGAAACCAUCCAGACUCCUUCCAUUAAACAGAACCGAAAAGGAUACGGACGUCACACAUCUCAUAACUGUGUCAGUGAAGCAGGGGCUAAAACCCAUCUUGAGCAUUACAGCUCUCAAAUAUGACCACUCCAAGCGAUCAUACGCUUUCAUCAUAUCCAAUUUCGGAGCACAGUAUCUGUUACCCUUCACCCUCUUAGUCUUCAUAUAAUGUAAACAUUCAUAGGCUGUGAUGAAGUUGUCUGUGAUAAGACGUCCAUGGACAAAAGCCGACUGCUCUUCGGAAAUGAUCUCGGGGAUGAUUACUUUCAGCCUGUUAGCUAAGACCUUUGAAGCAAUCUUGUAGAUCACAUUACAAAGGCUUAUCGGCCGAAACUGUCCUAAAACCUUUGGACUUGCUAUCUUUGGAAUUAAAAUGGUGAACAUGCUAUUUAUCUCCUCCGGUGAGUCCACACCAUCAAGCACUCUGAUGAUCAUCCUCGUAACUUCAUCACCACAUAAGUCCCAAUGCUUCUGGAAAAAAUUUGCAGGAAAACCGUCCGGCCCCGGUGCCUUAGUUGGAAACAUUUGAAAGAGAGCUUCCUUAACCUCAUCAUUACUAUAAGUGGCAUUUAGGCAGGCGUUCAUAUUACCAUCCACCCUCACCGGUAUGUGCGAUAACACCUCUUCCAUACCUAUUGUUCCUUCCGACGUAUAGAGAUUUGAAUAAAAUGUCGUAGCCAUAUUUUCCAGUUCCACCGGAUCCGUGCAAGUAGUCCCAUCAGCACGAUCAAGUUGGGUUAUGCUGUUUUUGGCCCGUCUAGCACUAGCCUUCCUCUGGAAAAACUUGGUGUUACUAUCACCCUCGGACAGCCAUGUGAUGCGUGACCGCUGUCUCGCCAUAAUUUCCUCUCUGUACGCCAGUUCCACCAUGCGCUCCUCGACCUUGCGUUCCUCCUCGCUUGGUCCGGUUCUCAUCAGAUCUGCACGCAGCAUAGCAAGUUUCCGUCGAAGCAAUCUUUGCUCCUGCCGAACCGAUCCAAAAGAGCUCAAUCCCCACCUCGAAAGAGAAGUGGCCACCGACUGUAGUUUGUUGGCCAACUUCGUCACCGGCGAGGCAGGUCCAUCGCCAUUCCAUGCAGCUUCCACAACAUCCUUGAAAGGACCAUCUCUCUCCCAGACACAUUCAUAGCAAAAAGGUUUCUUCACCGCGAUGCGCUGAUUCCCAGCUUCCAUUUCAUUCAUAAGCAGGAUAGGGCUAUGAUCACUCCUAACUGUUGUUAGAUGCUCCACUUGUGCAAACGGGAACAUGUUCGACCAACUUGCCAAAGCUAGAGCCCAGUCCAACCGGACCCUACAAAACUGGCCUCCUGUAACACGUUUCUCAAAAGUCCAGUCUAAGCCGGUAUAGCACAAAUCCGCCAGCUCACAUACAUCCACAGCUUCCCUAAACCCCUCCAUUUGACCGCUAUCCCACGGGUUAGGGCCCAUCUGCUCCUCCUGGCGAAGUAUCUCAUUGAAAUCGCCCAUGCAGAGCCAAGGUAAUGUGCUUUCUUCCCUCAACAUUUUCAUGGUAUCCCAUGUUUUGUACCUCAGGCUCCGGUUUGCCUCUCCAUAAAAGCAUGUGAGGCGCCAUUGCUCAGACCCUAGUUCAGAUACCCAGGAGUCUAUGUGAUACUGCGAGAAAUUCUUUAUUAUCAAAUUAACAUCUGCCUUCCAGAAAAUACAAAGACCACCACUACAACCACUACUAGAUACUGCAAAGCUGUUUUGAAAACCUAAAGAGGCCGCCAAGCCUUCCACUCGAUUUUUUGCUAAUUGAGUCUCCACAAUGCAAGAACCGAUGGCGCACUAGCCCCCACGAGAUAGCGGAGCUCAUGGACUGUCGCAGGGUCGCCAAUCCCACGACAAUUCCAGCAUAAAGCUCUCAUUUGGUUCGACAACCCUCCUCGAAGGAGGCCGCCUCCAUUGCUUGUGCCUUGAUCAACUCCUCAUCAUCUUGUUGCUUCCUCCUCUUGACCAGCGGAUCUUUCUCUGGUGUGGAUACCGUCACAGUAUUGCUUGAGCUCGGGGUAGCACCUUUGAGUAGCUUUACCAUCCCAGCUACCUUCCAAGGUUUGAAAUGGUCUGCCCCAUAAUAGUAAGAGAGACAUCCGCAUUAACCAGCCGUUUGCGAGCUCCCUUCUCUCCACGUUCAUGAUUGUCCCCACUAAUAUCCAUGUCCAUGCGUUGCGGGGCUGGUGACUUAGGCCUUGUUGCUUCUCCUCGACCGCUGCCUCCUGCCGAUGCCCCCCAACCUCUACCNNNNNNNNNNNNNNNNNNNNNNNNNNNNNNNNNNNNNNNNNNNNNNNNNNNNNNNNNNNNNNNNNNNNNNNNNNNNNNNNNNNNNNNNNNNNNNNNNNNNNNNNNNNNNNNNNNNNNNNNNNNNNNNNNNNNNNNNNNNNNNNNNNNNNNNNNNNNNNNNNNNNNNNNNNNNNNNNNNNNNNNNNNNNNNNNNNNNNNNNNNNNNNNNNNNNNNNNNNNNNNNNNNNNNNNNNNNNNNNNNNNNNNNNNNNNNNNNNNNNNNNNNNNNNNNNNNNNNNNNNNNNNNNNNNNNNNNNNNNNNNNNNNNNNNNNNNNNNNNNNNNNNNNNNUUCCUCUUCCUCUAGCUCCACCGUCACCUCUUCCCCGGGCACCAUAAGUUUGGCCCGCUGGAAUCUCCGGUUCCCACAACAGCCACUCCCCCCAUUCAAAGGAUCUCGGGUCAUGCACUCCAUCCCCACAUUCAUCCGCAAGAUGCCCCAUGAGGCCACACGCAAAGCAAAAAUCUGGGAGUUUCUCAUAGUAGACGCUAUAUUUCUUCCGUUCCUUCAAAGUUAUAUGAACAAAACGAACCAAAGGUGUAUUCACAUCAAUAAACACCCUUGCACGCAGGGUGCUAGCUGGGUUGAUGCGCCCCUCAUUGACAAUCACAUUGAAAGGAGGAUUGCCAACCUCCGCCGCCACUUUUUCAGCAAGCUGUCGCUUCCUUGUCAGACCAUCAGGCAGGCCUUUGACCCUAGUCCACACCGGUAUCAUGUUGAGUUUAUACUCUAUAACAUCCGAGAAACCAUCAUACUCCUGCAGAACUACCGGUGCCCUUCGAAACAGCCACGGACCUCCCUUCAUAAUCUUCCUCCAGUCCCCUAAACAGUGACACUGCACCAGGAAAAGAUUAGGCCCCUUGAUGUUGAAAGUGACCCCCUGCGCUUUCAUGCAUGUAUUACACAUCUGGGAUAGGAGUGCCGCAUGACUAAAAGGUUUAGUGGUAUGAACUCGGAACAGUGCAAGCCAUCGGACGUCCUUGACCAGAUCGUCUACCUCAGCCGAGAAAUCAAGAUCUUCUUCCUCCUUCCCGUGCAGCCUCAUCCCCGCAAAUUGGUUCUCCAGAUCUGGAUCGGCUCCAACAUCUUCACCAUAAUCCUCCUCUUCAUCCGUCGAACCCCCCCAUCUGCGUCCUAAUCCUUCCCUUCUACCUGCCUGCACAUCUGCUCCCACCUCCCGAAUUUGCUCGCCAUCCUCCGAUUCAAACCCCCCACCCGGCGCCAUCGCCACACUUGCCGCCGCCCGAUCUACCCCCUGGGCCUCCAUCUCCCUUGACUCCGAUUCAGCCAUGCACAUGCGUACGCCCGCCGAGCAAUGGUUGAUCUCGCUGAUUAUCGGGAAACCCCGGCAAUCCGACGAGAGUUGACGUCGACUCUGGCAAAAUCGCCAGAGGAUGGGUGGAACCCUAGGAAAACCCUACCAGGGUUCGAUUCUAGGGGUGCCCUCAUUAUUUCCAUUUUUUCUGAAUCUACGCACGCUAAAUGGGCCAGGCCGACACUGUUCACAUGGACGCAAGAGAUCCUUGUGGACUCACUUAAUGUGAUAAAUAGUCGUUGGGCUCGUCAGUCCCGGACGGAUGAGUGAGGUGGUUCCAAGCUGAAGGGGUUGGGAGUCCAACCGGGAAAACAACACGUGGCAGGGCUCGCAGGCGAACGGCCACUCAUUGCAUGCACACGCAAAACCUCCUAAUCGGCACAUUGUGCGCCGCCGGUUAGGGAUUCUGGCGCCCACACGCUCGCAUACAUGGGCUAGCCCACCACAUGGCGACGCGGUCGCUUGCCAGGGCGCACUUGGUUCGCUCGGUGCACGGUUGACCAGUUGACCCGAAACUCUUUUAAAUUUGGGGGAAUGCCCAAAAAAACUAAAACAAUCAUGAAUUCAAUAAAGUUCAUGGAUUUGGAUAAAUUCAAAAAAAUCAUGAAAUGGGAAAAACAUGAUUUGAAUAUAGUUCACAGAUUUCCAAAAAAAACAUAUUUAUAAAAAUCGUAAUUUGGGGAAAUGUUUAUGAAUUUCAAUAUAUUCAUGAUUUGAAUAAGUUCGCGGGAUCAGAAAAGAUGUUCAUAAAUCUGAAAAGAGUUCAAGAGUUUUGAAAAAAGUGGUUCACUGAAUUUGAGAAAAGUUCACAAAAAUUGAAUAAGUUUUCAAAUUUUAAAUAAGUUCAUGUAUAUAAAAAUAAAAAGUAAUAAUAAAAUUGAAAAAAAGUUAUGCAUUUGGAAAAAUCGGAAAUGGAAUGAAAAGGGAAGAAAAAAAGGAAAGGAAAAGAAAAUCAAAAAACAGAACAAUCCCCGGUUCAUAAAAAAAUGAUCCAAAAGCUUCCCUAAACUGGAUUGGAAGCUUCCCAAAACAGGGGAGGAAUCUUCCCUCUCGUGAGCUUCAUGGAUCGGCCCAUUAGGAAUCGAAGGAACGGCGGGUGUGUGAGAUGUUUUGCAAAAUAGGCUAAAACGGGCGCAGAUGGCGCCAAGUAGACGCCAACCCCAAACUCAGCUCGAUCACUUAAAUUGACAUAUAUCCCUAAAAAAACUUAAAUUGAUAUAUAUGGCCGUUGGCCUCUUUGCAAAAUAAAAUAAAAAGAAAAAUAGGUUAUAUUUCCUGCUCAGUUUCCGGUUUUAAUGCUAAACAUCGCCUUCGAUCGCCUUGUACUCGCGAAUUGAGCGUAGCUUAGCUGGUUAGGUUUUUUGUUGUGCAAUCAGCCCACCAGGAUUCAAGUCUCGUUCGGUGGGAGGAGAUGUUCCUCUCGACUACGAGGCAAUUUCAAAGGUGCUUCAUAUGGGUAGGGUAUGCAUGCGUUCGUUCGUCAAGGUGAAUGUAUGCGUGUAUAUGUGGGCACGGUGUUAAAAAAAAGUUGUACUCCGACUAAUCAGACAACUCCCACUCCUAGCUUCUAUGGCACACGCACCCGGCACCUCUCUCGUGCAUUGUGGAGCACACAGUACAAUACUAGUACGUACGAAUAAACAAGGACAAUCCAUGUAUAACACACAUAGUACAGUAUCACUUCGCUGUGGCAUCACUGAAUCAACAACGAACGCGAGCUUCUGUUUAUAACUUUAUUUCCCAGGGCAGACGUGGAAUGGUAGAUCAGUCACUUGCCCGGCCGGCCGGUAUAUCAGACCCUUGGACGACAACACACACGAAUGUGCUACUACUACUACAGACCAUUACAAACGAACGACUGAAAUUAAGAACUAUAUAAACGUAAGUAUUUCUUUUGGCGGUCGGUUCGCCAAUCGUUAGCGAUUCAUCUCCUGCAUGCACCCGUGCGUGCAUCAGCCCUUGAUCGAUCAGAAAGCCUUGAUGUAGCCCUUGCGCGGGGUGGGCGAGCUGAUCUCCUGCUCCAUCUUCUGCAGCUCCGCCAGCAUCGGCAGCGUGCUCACCGUUAGCAUGGCCACCGCCGGGUGGGUGCCCUCCGGCAGCUCCACCUCCUGCUGCGCCGCCGCCUCCGUGGACACGUCGUGGAUCCCCGUCGGCAGCACCAGGGCCGACGUGUCCGGCUUGCGGUAGCAGAAGUAGAGCGUCAUCUGGGCCACGCCGAAGAAGAAGCCGCCCACGUUCGGGAGCUGCAUACCCAUAUAUUGAGUGACAUCCAUGGAUCGAUAGUUAAGAAUGAAACGUAUUGACGUUUGCCAAAGAAGACGUACGGUGACGUAGAUGUCCUUGGUGAAGAGGCCGUAGAAGAACCAGGCGACGGCGCUGAGGGUGAGGAAGAAGGAGAGCGAGAAGGGCAUGUACUCGGCGCUCUUGGUCUUGAUCACCACGAACUGCAUGCAUGCAUUAUUCACCGGCCGGAUAGUUAGUUAGUUAGAUCUCAUGGUCUUGAUCACUCAAGCAAGAGCAGUAGUGGUAGAGCUUACGAUGACGCUGAGGGGGGCGACGAAGACGGCCAUGGAGAAGGCGAGGCAGACGCUGCCGAGGACCUUGACGCGGCUGGGCUGGGGCACGAGGAAGACGGUGACGACGACGAUGAGGGAGAAGGCGGCGACGUCGAGGAGGAGGAAGAAGGCGAGGGCGCGGUGCCUGGCGUUCCUGGGCGCGUACACCACGUAGAGCAGGAUGUAGAAGGACUCGACGACGCAGCCGAAGGCGUUGAUGGUCAGCAGCGGGCUGGAGUUGGUCUUGACCAGCGCGUAGAAGAUCCACAGCAUGCAGCUGAAGAGCGCCACCACGUACGGCACCGCGCUGAACCCCUCCGUCGACUUCUUCCGGUACACCCGCAGGAACGUCGGCCUACGUACACAUGCAUAAGCUUUAGCUCGUCAGAAACUAAGAACGCGUGCUGACCAAGUGACCAUGCAUGCACGACGUACGGCCAAAAGAUGCAAGAGGAUUAUGUCACUUACGUCGGUGCGAGGAACACCAGGAAGGAUAUGAUGUUGCCUGCAGAAAAAGGGAAUGGGAAACGACACUUUGUGUCAGUAAGGCUUAAUCAUGUGACAAAACAAAUGGCUUGGAAAUACAUGCAUGGAUGAUGCAUCAACAGUUGAGCAGCAUGCAUGCCUACCUAGGAUGCCAAAGGCGGAGGCCCACGGGUGAGCCAUGGAGAAGAGCCCUUCUGCCAUCCUGAUCAGUGAUCACGAGUACAAAGCACGGUAACUAAGCAGAUCAGAUGAAUGUAUCUACUGUAUGUUCUUCUCCUUCCCAAAGACUAGGGAGAGACCUUCAAAAAAAAGACUAGGGAGAGAAGGCAGUGCUUGUGUGGUUUUUCGAAUGGAAACAAGCCGUGUAUAUAUAGCAGUAGCAGAGCCCCUCCCCGUCCCCGCUCUACCUCUACGACGAGUACGUAGUGGAAUUCCAGGGCAGCCACAGUGGUGAAAAUUCAACAAGUGUGCGUGAGUGCGCGGUUACAAGUGUAUCGGUGUACCAUUCAUGUAAACAUGUACGCAUGCAUCCUUUUCCCAGCCAAGAUGAAGAAUACGUGCACAGCAUUCCGUAUGGACAUUACCGGAAGCAAAAAAGGGCUGAUCGGUUACUGCCAUAUACUACUGUUAUUACCACGUGCGUGCUGCGCGAGUAGCCAGUCUACAAGUACAUGUGACAAAAUUGAAAGUGGUAAUGCAAACGUGCAUGUACAUUACAUUAGUUCCACAGAACCACUGGGUACGUCGAGGCUACUAGUAAAACAGAAAGAGAAACCAAAGCAUAAAACGAAGUACAUACGAAACUGCUUCAUGCAUGAUCCUGGUGCCUGAUGAAUGCACGACACCGAAAUCCAGCGGCCCGUGCCCGAUGUAUGCACGAAUGUCUGACCAUAUUUUAAGCAUCGUCUAUGAGUCGUACAUAUUUUGUCGUAUGUAUAGCACGGCUCUAGUAUAUAUGUACGCCUUUACAGCACUUAGAUUACUUUAUUAGAGCGGUGAAAAUCCACGUGUGCAAUAACGAUGCCAUGGUGCACCAACUGGUAUGAGCCUUGCAUCACCGGCGGAUGCUUUCUCUGAUCCAUCGAUCGCCAACAGGAUAUGAUGCUAUCGUUGUAUCCCGCUGAAAAGAUAUGUGCUUGCAUGCAGCUACAGUUAGGCCGGUAGCCGAAGCUGCUAGCUAAAACUUGCAGCGAGUGCCGAAGUGGCCGCCGCGGCGAGGGCUAUGCAUUUUCUCUUCCUGUCAAUGCGUGGACUGACCUGACCUGACCUAACAACCGACACGUCACACCCAGCACUCAACGAUGCAGUUACAUCUUUGGGUCCGUUCGGUUACACAACCGAAGUCCGGUUCAUUAGGUCGAACGUUUUGAUGCAGAAAGGAUAGUUAGGGCGAGAUCUUUCCCGACUUCUUGAUGCAUGAUACAUUGCACCUGCAUGCACGGGCUUAACGAUCGCCAUCGUGUGUGAUACCAUUAAGUUACCCGUCACCGUCGAUUGGUCUCUCCCCUGUUCCGUUUCACCUCAUGUGUGUAUGUAUGUAUGUAUGUACUGCCCCCCCUGUCUCUUUUACUUUACAGUUGCAUCCCACCACUGUAGGUGGAGCGAGGGACGAGGGGCAUUUUACGCACGCACGUAGUUCGUCUGGUAGCUGGUAUGCAUGGUGUAUGCGGCAGCGGUGCUUUUCUGCGCCGUGCCACUGGCGAGGUGAAGAAGCGGAAACAUCUCAGUGCUACUGUCACGCGCAGCAUCGACGAUCGAUGGAUCGAUCAAUUCAGGCUACCUAAUACCUAGGCCGCGGGCAAAUUAUUACCUGCAGAGUAGCUGGCUGUAUAAGCAUAUGCGGCAACGGGGGCCUUUUCCGCCUCUGCCACUGGCGAGGCGACGAAACGGAAACUCCUCGGUGCUCGUUUCACUGGCGCCGAUCGAUCCUGUUGCUGCUGCUGUGAAUAAUGCAGCUGCCGUGCUUUUGUGCAAGAGAGAUCGGCCGACUGGCAAAGGUGACGGCGACACGAGUGGCUUGGCAUCCAUCCAUCCAUGCACGCACGCGCUGCUCGUUUGGUCAAGCGGGCUAGUGGGGUUCGUACGUGUGCAACCCAACCGACUGGCCGACCUCGGAGACUCUUGGCCGGCCUCCGAGAAAAAACUGGUAAAUGAAAUGGUGUCUGAGCAAGGUACGCGUGGAUGCAUGAUCGAGCCAAGGCGGUACGGCACGGUACGUUCGGCGGCCAAGUGGCACCGAUUCCACCUAGUGCCUGCCGCCAAGACGCAGAGUCAGAUUCUGUUAAGGUGCAUGCAGAAGAAUAUACUCGUACUCCCCUCCAGCUUUCAUUCUGUCUGGCUUCCAGACUUCCAGCCAGCACAGCGCGUCGCCAAGGAACAUGCGCAUGGGCGCACGGCGCAAUGAUGCCAUGCCAUGCCAGGGCACCAUUGCGAGUGCCGUGGCCGUAGCUACCUCUGCCACCCCGUAUUAUCAUCUGCGCAAAGUCGCAGCAGAUCGGCAUCCGGCUCGCCGUGCUGGGUGCUCCUCCUCAUGCGCACCACCAUCCAUUCAUCUUACACUCGGGCGAACGAGCCGGCCGUGUAUCUAAUUAUCUUCUAGCAUCCCAUGCAUCCUCCGCGACUUGCUGCGAUCUGCUCGGCCACUGGCUUACCGUAGCAUCAUCGCUCGCAACUUCGCAAGUGUCUGUUCUACUAGCUAGCACUGGACGUACUAGGAGGAUGUGGGUGGCCUAGUGAGUAUGCCAUGAGUGAAGAGCAAUCGAUCCGGCGUCCAUUUGCUCCAUGAUCAAGGCUCAAGGCUGCAGUGGACCUUCCACUUCACCUACUGCUCGCUCUACUUGCAGCCGGACAGGGGAACAUAACACAGAUAUUAUUUCGCCGGAAAAAUCAUUUCAUUACUUGUCUUGUCGUUGGUUGAAUGUCUCUCGUGCUGCUUCACAUCAGACCAUUUUCUCUAGGAGAAUGAAUAUAAAUACAUAAGAAACGCCUUUCCUGUUUUUUCUAACAGAAGAAAGUAAGAAGCGUCUGUCAUUUCAUGGGGUGGUGGUGUGGUUGACCUACAGAAUAACAACUGAGCUGACCAAGUACCGUGAAAUGACAAAGAAGCCGCGCAGACAGAAGCUGGAGAUUCGUAGUUAUUAUUAUAAAAUAAAUAAACGAAAUAUGUAUGUGGCAACUGUGUGGCAGAUUGCAAAAACUACCACACGCAUCUAGCAUCAUCAGAUCCGAUCGCGCGCACCUGCCCCGCCAUUCCGAUUUCCUUCCUUCUAUAGCUUUCCCGCACGUCCUCCCGAUUUUAUCGCGCAUCCGCACCUGCAUGUACCUCCCUAAUUUUCGCGCCUCCCGAUUUUUAGGAGAUCCGAUCGCGCGCGCCCGCCUCGCCCUUCCGAUUUCCUUCCUUCUUUAGUUUUUGAUUUUUGGGUAAAAAUAGUGCUUGCAAUGGGAUUUGAUCUCUGGUCUACAUAUAAUCAAUGAAGGGAGCUGACCAUCUCACGUACAACUCAUUGUUGAACAAGCUAAGGAAAAAUACGGUUUCGACAUGUUUUGCCUUUAAUAUGUUAGCACAGAAAAUCUUUUCGUUUCACCUAUCAAACCCGACACAUAAACUUUUCCCGUGGUAAAUUCUCCAUCACCAUCAUGAUAACUAACGCACCACCAACAUGAUAACUUUUGUAUACCACACAUUACAUUAUGUGUAAGAGCAUGGUCAUAUAAGCACCGGAGGCGUGAUAACUUUNNNNNNNNNNNNNNNNNNNNNNNNNNNNNNNNNNNNNNNNNNNNNNNNNNNNNNNNNNNNNNNNNNNNNNNNNNNNNNNNNNNNNNNNNNNNNNNNNNNNNNNNNNNNNNNNNNNNNNNNNNNNNNNNNNNNNNNNNNNNNNNNNNNNNNNNNNNNNNNNNNNNNNNNNNNNNNNNNNNNNNNNNNNNNNNNNNNNNNNNNNNNNNNNNNNNNNNNNNNNNNNNNNNNNNNNNNNNNNNNNNNNNNNNNNNNNNNNNNNNNNNNNNNNNNNNNNNNNNNNNNNNNNNNNNNNNNNNNNNNNNNNNNNNNNNNNNNNNNNNNNNNNNNNNNNNNNNNNNNNNNNNNNNNNNNNNNNNNNNNNNNNNNNNNNNNNNNNNNNNNNNNNNNNNNNNNNNNNNNNNNNNNNNNNNNNNNCUCCCCCAACCCUUCGGUAAUUUCAGUAAAUAGCAUGAUAACUUUCACGCCGUAGACCUGAUAACUUAGAUACAAGCAUCAUCGUACCUUUAAACAUUGGGGAAAAAACGUGAAAAUAUACCCGAUAAUUUCUGUGUAAAUAGAUGAUAAUAUACGUAGCGCACAUCUGAUAACUGAGAUAGAAACACCAUGGUAACUUCGACCAUAGGGAAGAAAAUUAUUGAAAAGAUACUCCGGUAACUUAUGUGUAAAUAGCACGGUAGUAUACCUCCUUCCCCUGGUAUUUUUCUGUGUAAUAGCAUGAAAACAUAUGCACUGCGAUAACUAAACACCAUGAUAAAUUUUGAUCCAUGGGGGAAAUUUUUGCUGAAAUAUACCCCUGAUAAUUUUUGUUUAAAUAGCAUGAUUUUUUAAGCAUGGCGGGCUUGAUAGGUUACCUAGAAUCACCAUGAUAACUUUUUGACCCGGAAAAAAGUUGUUCAAAACAUUCCCGAUAAAUAUUUUUGUGUAAAUAACAUGAUAAUACAAGCACCCAUAACCGAUAACUUACAUAUAAGCAUCAUGGUAACAUUUUACCAAAGGAAAAGAAAGUUGUUAAAAACAUACACUCGUCUCGCGGGGGCUCUUGGAUGAACACAACACAUGGUGUGCCACGAGAAAGUCACAUAAUGUUUAGUGUCAUGAGGGGCACACGUGCUUGUGAGUUGGCCGAAAAAAAAAUGGUCCACUUUGACCCGCUAUAGGCAUGAUAAAUUAAGUUACGCAAAAAUUUCGUUGUAAUUUUUCACCUAUGGAAAAAGCUACUGAAACACACCCGGGUUUUUAGGUAUAAGUACCAUGAUAAUAUACGAACCGUAGAAUCAGUAACUCAUGUACAAUCCCCCAUGGUAACUUUGACCGGAGGAGGUUGAUGUAAACAUACCUUGAUAAUUUAUGUGUUAGUACCACGGUAUAUUACGCAUCGAGGAGCUGAAUAACUUAUGUAUAGAACACAGUGGUAACUUUGAAAGAGGGUGUAGUUGUUGAAACAUAGUACCUGAUAAGUUCUAUAUAAAUAACAUGAUAAGUUACGCAACAUAGGCCUGAUAACUUGCAUACGAAUACCAUGGUAACUUUGACCCGAGGGAAAAUCAUGGUAAUUUUCUGUAAUAACACGAUUGUAAAAAAAACGUCAAAAGGAAUAGUUUUCUUUAGUUGAGCAACAAAUCCAUAAGGAUGAGUUGGUUGUGAUGGUGCGCUUUGGUGCCUCGGGGUUGUGGGUUCGAAUCCCACAUGCGCAAUUUUUUUUAUUAUGUGGGAGACGAGAAGAAGUGACAGUUUUCAUAGGGGUGGGCGCGCGAGAUGUGCGGGAAAAGCAGAUUUUUUGGGCGAGUCUGCGGGGUUGUUCGGGAGGAUGAGGGAUCGAAGAGAGGGGAAGUUGUUUUGUACUUAGAGGGAAAUGGAUAAGGUAUGUGUGGUAGUUUUAGCUAUGUGGCACACGUGUGCCAAAUAGCACGGUCCAUAAAUAAAAAUCGAUAACAACGAAAGUCAUUUUUUAUGGGGAAAAAACACAGGAAAUGGUCGCCGCAUUAAAUCAGUAGCGCACUACCGAAAUUCCACGGGUGCAGCAAGGAAAAUGAUCGUGCUAGAGGAGCAGGAAAGCGCAAGCCAGCAUUGACCUUUCGCCCGAGAAGUAGCACCGCUGGAUGAGCUGUGUAACGAUCUCUUUUUUAUCCCGGAAAGAUUGUGGAAUGUCUCUGCCCAGUCUCAGCUAUUGGUAGAAUAAUAAUUCCACGGAAGCAGCUUUGAGUUUACAACUUGUCAACUAGGCAACCAUGUCUCACAAAUCACAACCCUAAACUGAUGAUAACUACAGUACAUUUAUAAAACAUGAUUUCAAAGCUACGAAUAUUACAAGCAGCAAAUCAUACAGAGCACACUUUCUUACACACUGUUCCAAUGAUAAAUAUAUACACACAGAUAAGACAAUCCAAGCCACGCAGCAGGAGUUAAAUCUCUUCUGUUAUUUUCUUUGCUUACUUAAAACACCAAACGAGAGGCACAUCAAAAGGACUGACGCCCUUCCAAGAUGAAACGGACACAGGUAAGAAAGCAUUGGCAUAUUGUAUACCCUAGGUGAAAGGCACAAGCUCACAGGAUACUCAGAAAGGCCGGUUCUUCAUUUUGGAGAUCAGACAGGGUUGUUCCUUGUUGAGAUCAGACCCGGUGCGGCGUCAGAAAGCGGCGCACGGUUUGCUAGUGAGUUCCACUGGUUGUGCCGUGGCCACUGCUGACCGAGCCCCAGUUAGUUUCUCCACCUCCCAUCUGCACGGCGAUGCUGUCCAUCGACUCUGAGGUCCCACUUCUGUGACCCCAGCUUGAUCGUCUCGAAUGCAUAACAGCCCUGCCUUCCAUGAGCUCAACUGGAAGGGCUUCUCUGCUCAGAUCCGGUGACGCAUGGGUUAUUCUGCCCUCUUUCUCAUCCAGCAUGCCCCCAACUCCUAAAUCUCUUAUAUCAGCUCCUGACCGAGGUUCGUCCCAUGAUACUGGCUUCCUGCCCAAUUCAAGGUCUCCAACAGGUUUGCCCAUGUUUGGGCUCAUGAAACCCCUGGUUGGUGGGCGUGAUUGCUGUAAACCUUGCUCUACUGGGACCCUAGCUCGGAAAUUGUUCUUGGAAGCGGGGACAGCAGUGCAGAAGAUCUCCAGAAAGUUGUUCACCACACCUACGUUAUAUGGGUUAGCCCGCCGGUCGUACCGAUACCUGAAGUUCUCAUAUGUAGUCUGCAAAGGUGAAAGAUUGGAUGAUUACCAAGUUGCGACCAACUGCUUUAAAUAUCAAAAGUUUUAAAACAGGGGAAGGGAAGGAACCUGGUUGGUGCUCAUCAGGUAGAAAUGGAAGACAGAAAGACCACCAACAAACCACACACAAAUAAAACAGUAGAUGAUCAGAACCAUUG